rnacentral:misc_RNA from 1 species
GAUGAAGAACGCAGCGAAAUGCGAUAAGUAAUGUGAAUUGCAGAAUUCCGUGAAUCAUCGAAUCUUUGAACGCAUAUUGCGCCCUCUGGUAUUCCGGAGGGCAUGCCUGUCCGAGCGUCAUUGCUGCCCUCAAGCACGGCUUGUGUGUUGGGCCUCCGUCCUCCUCCCGGGGGACGGGCCCGAAAGGCAGCGGCGGCACCGCGUCCGGUCCUCGAGCGUAUGGGGCUUCGUCACCCGCUCUUGUAGGCCCGGCCGGCGCUUGCCGACACAUCAAUCUUUUUUCCAGGUUGACCUCGGAUCAGGUAGGGAUACCCGCUGAACUUAAGCAUAUCAAUAAGCGGAGGA